CUGAUGACUUUCCUACCUAGUGAAUUUUGAUCGGCAGUCUUGGGAGUGACUGAAAAAAGAAAUUUGGCUGGGCAUGAAGAAAGAGAAGAGUUGAAGAUUGGUCAGGAUAGUGUGAAGAGAAUCAAGAAAAGGAACAUUGGUCUUCAAAUGAAAAGGAAGCCAGUCUGUUCCAUCUGCUCUAGAGGCCUGCAGUUGUAAUCUUUCUACACAUAAAAUAAUUGCUGCAAACAAA